UACGGAGGGGGCUAGCGUUGUUCGGAAUUACUGGGCGUAAAGCGCACGUAGGCGGCUUUGUAAGUUAGAGGUGAAAGCCCGGGGCUCAACUCCGGAAUUGCCUUUAAGACUGCAUCGCUAGAAUUGUGGAGAGGUAAGUGGAAUUCCGAGUGUAGAGGUGAAAUUCGUAGAUAUUCGGAAGAACACCAGUGGCGAAGGCGACUUUCUGGACGAUAACUGACGCUGAGGGCGCGAAAAGCGUGGGGGAG
rnacentral:rRNA from 1 species